UACGUAGGAGGCAAGCGUUGUCCGGAAUUACUGGGCGUAAAGCGAGUGUAGGCGGUUCGAUAAGUCGGAUGUGAAAGCCCCCGGGCUCAACCCGGGAAGUGCACUCGAUACUGUCGAGCUAGAGUAUCGGAGAGGUUGGUGGAAUUCUCGGUGUAGAGGUGAAAUUCGUAGAUAUCGAGAGGAACACCGGUGGCGAAGGCGGCCAACUGGACGAAUACUGACGUGAGACUCGAAAGCGUGGGGGGAGCAAAACAGGA
rnacentral:rRNA from 1 species